rnacentral:lncRNA from 1 species
UUCCCUUUUGGCACACUUUCUCUUAUUGGCUAAGUAAUGGACGAGCUUCCUAUGGGCUUUGGCUGCUCGCAAUUUACAUUGUCGGUGAGGAUGUUGCUCGCGAUUUGCAGCGUCGGUGAUGGAAGCUCUCCUCUAACCACCAUACACUUGCAGCAACCACCAAUAACCAACGACGAUCAUUCCCAGUAGCGACGUCCUGCGCACAACGUACUCGAAGCAACCCUUUCUCACAAUUGAACUUGAACGCCACCAAUUACCUGCGAUAAUAAUUGCGACUCCGAUAAUUACUUUCCUUAGCCAAAGAUGAUUUUUCUGUUUUUGUAAGAACUUCUCAAAGUCGAUAUUGUAGUAGUACUAAUUAUACUUUGUGUUAGGCUGUUGUGCG